rnacentral:rRNA from 1 species
UACGAAGGGAGCUAGCGUUGUUCGGAAUCACUGGGCGUAAAGCGCACGUAGGCGGAUUUGUCAGUCAGGGGUGAAAUCCCGGGGCUCAACCUCGGAACUGCCUUUGAUACAGCAAGUCUUGAGUUCGAGAGAGGUGGGUGGAAUUCCUAGUGUAGAGGUGAAAUUCGUAGAUAUUAGGAAGAACACCGGUGGCGAAGGCGGCCCACUGGCUCGAUACUGACGCUGAGGCGCGAAAGCGUGGGGAGCGAACAGG